ensembl:lncRNA
UCCAGAUCUGUCACUUAUCCUUCACCUGCUGUACUGUAGGGCUGGCUCUAAAAGUGUUGCGCAUCAUUAAAGGAACGUAGCAGCCAAUUGAAUCAACUUAUACACCACACGAAUCCGUCUUCCUUUCAUAGAGCGGCAUAUUUUAACCGAACGACUGGUCUCGUUUGUCUUCGUUUAUGCGUUUACACUCAUGAAGAGUAAAUUUGUCCUGGAAACGCUCAUUCAAACCAUUUACAGACGGUUCGAUCCAGCUUGAUAAAUGAGGCCUGGUUUUAGACCAGAAUACGCUGAUGAUGAAUUUGGAGAAGGAUGUUUGUUUGUUUUUUCUGAAGAUGUAUUGAUGCCAUGAAUAGAAAGUAUGCGCAAAAAUGAAUUGUGUUUCAGACGUGUCACUGAGGAUGAACGUUAAAGCCCUAAGAAAAAUGAAAGCAUGCUGUGGAAAAUGACCAAACAUGCCAUUAAAAUAGUUUCAAUAAUGUUUUGUAUUUUGUCUUAUGAAAGGGAAGAAAACUUGCAUUAAAUGAAAAGUCAAAAACGACGCCACAGUUUAUAUCCACGUCCUUCGUACAGCAGGUACAGCAGGCCCACUGAGGCUCCUGAGUGACACCACUGACCUCUAGUGGCCAAGUCGGGACUAACUCUGUGUUGUAGCCGCAAUUUAAACAGGACAGAAUUUCCAUUAAAGGUGCACUGGGUACAAGAUUAGUUUUGUUUUUGCUCUUUUUCCUCAUGAUUAUAUCUGUAAUUAUUAAGUAGGUGGGUUUGACAUGUGAAUGUUUUUGUUUUUUCCCCCCGCACACUGCUUGAGAUGAGUGUGUUUGAUUAAGUAUUGCCGAGGACGUGUCCAUGGUUACCGCAUGGCCUUUGAGAGAUGCUUUUGCGGCAUACAACACAAACGGUGAUGAAAGUCUUCAGAAACAGGGUGUAAUUACCGCAGAACCGCGUGUGACUGUGGGUUCUAAUGCUAGACUGCCACUGUAACGUGAUCUCGGGGAAAUAACUUUAGUUAUCGCGAGAUCUAAAAAAACAAACAAACAAAAAAAAGCGAGUUCUGCUCGUUUCUAUAGUAACAAAGGGAACCGGUUAAAAACAGAAAGAGGAGUCUCAAGUGCAGGUUUUUCUACAAGGAAAAACAAACGCACAGUGUGAUCAAAUCAAUUAUUAUUAUUAUUAUUAUUAUUAUUAUUAUUAUUACUGUUGUUGUUGUCAUUGAUGUUAUCAUUAUCAUUAUUAUUGUUGAUAUUAUUGUUGUUGACAUUGUUGUUAUUACUAUUAUUAUUAUUAUUAUUAUUAUUAUUAUUAUUAUUAUUAUUAUUUUGUUGAUAUUAUUGAUGAAAUUGUUGCUGAAAAAAGAUGGCCAUUAUGAUUAAUAUUGUUAUUAUUAUUAUUAUUAUUAUUAUUAUUAUUAUUAUU